rnacentral:rRNA from 1 species
AAUAGAUACCCCGGUAGUCCACGCCGUAAACGAUGAGUGCUAAGUGUUAGAGGGUUUCCGCCCUUUAGUGCUGCAGCUAACGCAUUAAGCACUCCGCCUGGGGAGUACGGUCGCAAGACUGAAACUCAAAGGAAUUGACGGGGGCCCGCACAAGCGGUGGGGCAUGUGGUUUAAUUCGAAGCAACGCGAAGAACCUUACCAGGUCUUGACAUCCUCUGACAACUCUAGAGAUAGAGCGUUCCCCUUCGGGGGACAGAGUGACAGGUGGUGCAUGGUUGUCGUCAGCUCGUGUCGUGAGAUGUUGGGUUAAGUCCCGCAACGAGCGCAACCCUUGAUCUUAGUUGCCAGCAUUCAGUUGGGCACUCUAAGGUGACUGCCGGUGACAAACCGGAGGAAGGUGGGGAUGACGUCAAAUCAUCAUGCCCCUUAUGACCUGGGCUACACACGUGCUACAAUGGAUGGUACAAAGGGCUGCAAGACCGCGAGGUCAAGCCAAUCCCAUAAAACCAUUCUCAGUUCGGA